rnacentral:rRNA from 1 species
CGCCUAUUAGCUAGCCCCACCCCUCAACUACAACAAACAACUAUGAAUAACCCCAAAAACACUACACAAAACUAAACAAACCAUUUUUCCUCCUUAGUACGGGCGACAGAAAAGGAACUAGUGGCGCUAUAGACAAAGUACCGCAAGGGAACGCUGAAAAAGAGAUGAAACAGACCAGUAAAGCCAAGUAAAGCAGAGAUAAUCUCUCGUACCUUUUGCAUCAUGAUUUAGCUAGCAGCAUCAAGCAAAGAGAACUUUAGUUUGACACCCCGAAACUAGGUGAGCUACUCCAAGACAGCCUAACAAUAGGGCAAACCCGUCUCUGUGGCAAAAGAGUGGGAAGAGCUUCGAGUAGGGGUGACAGACCUAUCGAACCUAGUUAUAGCUGGUUGCCUGGGAACUGGAUAAAAGUUCAGCCUCCCGGCUUCUCUCUUCAUCCUUAUUCUAUUUCCCAAUGAUUCCUAAAGAAACCGCGAGAGUUAGUCAAAGGGGGGACAGCCCCUUUGAACCAAGAUACAACUUUUCCAGGAGGGUAAAGAUCAUAAUUUUCAAGGCAAAAAUGUUUUGGUGGGCCUAAAAGCAGCCACCCCUACAGAAAGCGUUAAAGCUCAAACAUACUCCUCGCCGUAUAUCCUGAUAACCCAAUCUUAGCCCCCUAACCCUACCAGGCCGCCCCAUGCAAACAUGGGGGCGACCAUGCUAAAAUGAGUAAUAAGAGGGGCCAAAGCCCCUCUCCCCCGCACACAUGUAAAUCGGAACGGACCCCCCCACCGAAAAUUAACGGCCCAAACCAAAGAAGGUAUUGGACAAACGUAAGCAUGACCCAGAAGACCGUCCAAAAUAUCACCGUUACCCCCACACUGGUGUGCUUAAAGGGAAAGACUAAAAGAAAGAGAAGGAACUCGGCAAACACAUGAAGCCUCGCCUGUUUGCCAAAAACAUCGCCUCUUGCAAAACUCAAGAAUAAGAGGUCCCGCCUGCCCAGUGACACUUUAGUUCAACGGCCGCGGUAUUUUGACCGUGCAAAGGUAGCGUAAUCACUUGUCUUUUAAAUGGAGACCUGUAUGAAUGGCACCACGAGGGCUUGACUGUCUCCUCUUUCAGGUCAAUGAAAUUGAUCUCCCCGUGCAGAAGCGGGGAUGAGCCCAUAAGACGAGAAGACCCUAUGGAGCUUUAGACACAAAGGCGGACCAUGUUAAGGACCCUUGAAUAAAAGACUGAACUUAGUGGCCCCCUGUCCCGAUGUCUUCGGUUGGGGCGACCAUGGGGAAACAAACAUCCCCCGUGCGGAAUGGGAGGACCACCCCUUUCUUUCUCUUCCCCCUCCUCCCACAACUAAGAGCUACAGCUCUAACUAGCAGAACUUCUGACCAUAAGUGAUCCGGCAAUGCCGAUCAGCGGACCAAGUUACCCUAGGGAUAACAGCGCAAUCCCCUUUUAGAGCCCAUAUCGACAAGGGGGUUUACGACCUCGAUGUUGGAUCAGGACAUCCUAAUGGUGCAGCCGCUAUUAAGGGUUCGUUUGUUCAACGAUUAAAGUCCUACGUGAUCUGAGUUCAGACCGGAGUAAUCCAGGUCAGUUUCUAUCUAUGUUAUGAUCUUUUCUAGUACGAAAGGACCGGAAAGAAGAGGCCCAUGCCCCAGGUACGCCUCCCCCUUACCUAAUGAAGACAUCUAAACUAGGCAAAAGGGCAUACCCCUAUUGCCUAAGAGAAUGGCGU